AGCGAACGCUGGCGGCAGGCCUAACACAUGCAAGUCGAACGAACUCUUCGGAGUUAGUGGCGGACGGGUGAGUAACACGUGGGAACGUGCCUUUAGGUUCGGAAUAACUCAGGGAAACUUGAGCUAUACCGGAUGUGCCCUUCGGGGGAAAGAUUUAUCGCCUUUAGAGCGGCCCGCGUCUGAUUAGCUAGUUGGUGAGGUAAAGGCUCACCAAGGCGACGAUCAGUAGCUGGUCUGAGAGGAUGAUCAGCCACAUUGGGACUGAGACACGGCCCAAACUCCUACGGGAGGCAGCAGUGGGGAAUCUUGCGCAAUGGGCGAAAGCCUGACGCAGCCAUGCCGCGUGAAUGAUGAAGGUCUUAGGAUUGUAAAAUUCUUUCACCGGGGACGAUAAUGACGGUACCCGGAGAAGAAGCCCCGGCUAACUUCGUG
rnacentral:rRNA from 1 species